GUCACUCAGAACUGUUUUAACCAUUUUUGUUUCAGAUUUUUAUCUGGUGAUCAUUACAGGCUCAAAACUCCAAAAGCUCUGCAGCUGCACUUUGGUUUUCACAAAAACACUCCCCCUUCACUUCUCAGAAAUGAUCAUUCAGAGAGAAAAUGGUGGUCUCAGACCACAAACACAUUUAUGUGCAUGUCCUUACCUACCUCCUAUCAUUGGUGACUACUACACUAUCAUCACGGUACAUCAAAAAUAAGAAGACUCAAAUACUGGUGGUCAAGGAGUUCUUCUACAGAAGAGCCGCACUUUGCAAACAUUGAACUGACAGUCUUCACACAUUCAACUUCCUCUUCUACUGCUGAUCAAAACACAACAUGUACUGUUAUUAUUCCUGUGCAGCACUUCAGAUAAGAGACUCUGUGAAAUGCAAAACACAUAAAAAUGAAAAUGCUAAAGCUUUCCACUCAUUUUAUGUGAUUUUAUAUCUACUUUAAGGCAGGAGUAGAGACAUUAAAAGCUACAAAUGUAUGAAUUUACCAACAGACACAGGAGAGGAAAGAACUGAUGUCACUAUGAGGAAGUGAUCAGGAAGUUGAUGCUGUAUUCAUCUCUGAGACUGUCUCAUUUGUGAACGUGAGAGCAAGAACAGAGACUGAGAGAGACAGAGAAGCACGAUGGCUGCAUUCACAUGGAUUCAAAUGUCUUCUUUACUGAUACUGAUGCUUCAGUUUAAAGGAACAGCUGAGCAAUAUUCACCUGUUUACGCUGUCAGAGCUGAACAUGAUGUUACUCUGCCUUGUAAAAAUUUGAUACAUGAUCAGCAUAAAUGUAAAAGUACUACCUGGCUGUUCAGUGAUUCAGGAAGCACAACAAUAAUCUUUGAAAAUGGGCAGAUUCACAAAGAUACCCAGACUAAAUCAGACAGACUGAAUGUUAAAAAGAAAAACUGUUCUCUGGUUAUAAAGAAGGUCUCAGUUGAGGAUGUUGGUCGUUACACCUGCAGACAGUUCAACAAAUCAGGACAACAACAAGGUCCAGACAUUCAGGCUGAUCUGACUGUUAUCAGCAUCACUGAACAUGAGAACCAUGGCGACGUCAUGUUGAACUGCUCUGUAUUUGCCUAUGGACACUGUGGGCACAAAGUGGAGUGGCUGUAUGAGGAUGAAAAGAAAAUAUCAGACAUGAAGAUCUCGGCAGGUCACUGCACUUCUACUGUGACAUUUACAAGAUCUGACCUGUCCAAGUUCUCUAAGCUGUUAAAGUGUCAUGUAACAGAUACUUCCACCAAAAAUGUGACAAUCUUUCCCUUCAAACCUCAAAAGUCUUCGGAUAAAGAUGCAAAUAAGACCAAAUCCACAAUGGCAUCAACUUCCACCACAACAGCAAAUUUAAUGCCAACACUGAAAACAUUAUCAUCAACAAUAUCAUCAAUAAAAUCAUCAAAAUUGUCGACAGCAGGAUCAUUAACAUCAAUGAACGUAAAGACGUCAGCAGUGACACCGGUGUAUCAGAAAGCAUCUGAAAGUAGGGACUUGAUUUUCUCUUCUUUUGAAGUCUUAGUUUUGAAUAUCAGGAUAAGUUGGUGGAGAAAUUCAUUAUCAUCGUUAACAUACUUUGCUACUCUUUCCAGAUCAGUUAUGGUUUAUUAUUGUUCCUGUGUGAUUAGCAGGACUGUUAAUAACUGCUGUCACCAGAUGGAAGAAAAAUACAGGUGAGAGAAUUCACAAAUUAAAGUUCAUUGUAAUUAUAAAUAUGGUUGCUAACUGUCUACUGGACAGAAAGCCUAGAUUUUUAAGUCAGAAGCUAAACGAUCCUGUUUUUUUCCCCCAGAAAACCAGAAACUACUGUCUGACAGCACUGUGAGUUUAAACACUUACACACAUAAGACACACACACACACACACACACAUAGUUCAAUUCAAUUCAAAACAAUUUUAUUUAUAUAGCACCAAAUCACAACAGACGUCGCCUUAAGGCAUUUUAAAUUAGAAAAUUAAAUUAAAUUAAAAUUAGUUAACUUAUUUGUCAUGCUUUUGUGUCUGACAUGGUACAGAUCUUAACUUAAAACAUACACAGUAAAUCAUAUGUAUUUGUUAAUCCCCAGAUAGGUCUAGGGGUUAGCGGAGUAAAACAAUACUAUAUGGAGGAAUGUGAGGAGGCUGUUUGUGCCAGUUUGAAAAGCUUUAAUGCCAAGAUGCUCACAAAAAGAAGCACAGGGUAAAUUCAGGGAGAGUCACGGUCAACACAACAAACAAAACGGCUCUAAAUUAAGAUAAAAGUUCAACCGCCAGUCAGCCAAGGUAAAACUGGAGGAAAAACGGAAUGCCAAACAAAAAGACAGCUCCCCUAAAAAGUUUCCUCUGGGCACUAUAAAGGACGGUUAUAUAACCAAAAAAUGGCUAAAGUCCCUUAGGUGCUGCUCGCAUAAGCCCUGGAGAGCAUCCACUGGCUGCAGGACAAAAGUUGCACUCAGUGUUAUAUUUUGUUUUCACAGAAAAGAGGAGAGAGCUACAGGGAUGAUGGUUAUGAGAACAAUAUUAAUGCUAAUUUAAUUACAUUUCAAAUGGACUCAAUAUAAAUCCACAUGUUAUUAAGCAGUUAAUAUAUUGUCUUUUCUGUGGUAUAGGAUGAAGCUGAGACCUAUGUGUUAUACGUCACCGUCAGCUUUACCAAGAAGGCCCAAAACAAAGCCCAGGUAAGAUUUCUGAUAUUCAUCGAGAUGAUGGUAGAAAGAUUAUUAUUUUAAAAGUUCGUGCCAGCUUAGUGUGUCUUUUGAUAAAGGAGC
rnacentral:lncRNA from 1 species